AGAGUUUGAUCCUGGCUCAGGACGAACGCUGGCGGUGUGCUUAACACAUGCAAGUCGAACGGUAAGGCCCUUUCGGGGGUACACGAGUGGCGAACGGGUGAGUAACACGUGAGUAACCUGCCCUCAUCUCUGGGAUAACAGUCGGAAACGGUUGCUAAUACUGGAUAUGAGCUUGCAAGGCAUCUUGUGGGUUGGAAAGAUUUUUUUUGGUUGGGGAUGGACUCGCGGCCUAUCAGCUUGUUGGUGAGGUAGUGGCUCACCAAGGCUUCGACGGGUAGCCGGCCUGAGAGGGCGACCGGCCACAUUGGGACUGAGAUACGGCCCAGACUCCUACGGGAGGCAGCAGUGGGGAAUAUUGCACAAUGGGCGGAAGCCUGAUGCAGCAACGCCGCGUGCGGGAUGACGGCCUUCGGGUUGUAAACCGCUUUCAAUUGUGACGAAGCUUUUUUGUGACGGUAGCAGUAGAAGAAGCACCGGCUAACUACGUGCCAGCAGCCGCGGUGAUACGUAGGGUGCGAGCGUUGUCCGGAUUUAUUGGGCGUAAAGAGCUUGUAGGCGGUUUGUCGCGUCGGGAGUGAAAACUUGGGGCUUAACCCUGAGCUUGCUUUCGAUACGGGCUGACUUGAGGGAGGUAGGGGAGAAUGGAAUUCCUGGUGGAGCGGUGGAAUGCGCAGAUAUCAGGAGGAACACCGGUGGCGAAGGCGGUUCUCUGGACCUUUCCUGACGCUGAGAAGCGAAAGCGUGGGGAGCGAACAGGCUUAGAUACCCUGGUAGUCCACGCCGUAAACGGUGGGUACUAGGUGUGGGGGACAUUCCACGUUCUCCGUGCCGUAGCUAACGCAUUAAGUACCCCGCCUGGGGAGUACGGCCGCAAGGCUAAAACUCAAAGGAAUUGACGGGGCCCCGCACAAGCGGCGGAGCAUGCGGAUUAAUUCGAUGCAACGCGAAGAACCUUA
rnacentral:rRNA from 1 species